rnacentral:piRNA from 1 species
GCGAAAGUGACAUGCACGGUGUCAGAGGG